rnacentral:rRNA from 1 species
CCUACGGGAGGCAGCAGUGAGGAAUAUUGGUCAAUGGACGCGAGUCUGAACCAGCCAUGCCGCGUGCAGGAAGACUGCUCUAUGAGUUGUAAACUGCUUUUGUACGAGGGUAAAUCCCGAUACGUGUAUCUGGUUGAAAGUAUCGUACGAAUAAGGAUCGGCUAACUCCGUGCCAGCAGCCGCGGUAAUACGGAGGAUUCGAGCGUUAUCCGGAUUUAUUGGGUUUAAAGGGUGCGUAGGUGGUUCGAUAAGUUAGUGGUGAAAGCUCGGGGCUCAACCCCGGAAUUGCCUUUGAUACUGGCAGGCUUGAGUUCAGUUGAGGUAGGCGGAAUGUAUGGUGUAGCGGUGAAAUGCAUAGAGAUCAUAAAGAACACCGAUUGCGAAGGCAGCUUACCAAACUACGACUGACGUUGAGGCACGAAAGUGUGGGGAGCAAACAGGAUUAGAUACCCCUGUAGUC